rnacentral:tRNA from 1 species
GAGGGUAUAGUUCAGUGGUAGAGCACGUGCUUAGCAUGCACAAGGUCGUGGGUUCAAUCCCCAGUACCUUCA